AGUGAACGCUGGCGGCAGGCCUAACACAUGCAAGUCGAACGAGUGGCGGACGGGUGAGGAAUACAUGGGAACCUACCUUAUCGACGGGGCUAACGUAUGUAAACUUUCGCUAAUACCGCAUACGAUUGAAUGAGCCGAUGUGGGAUUAGCUAGUUGGGGGGGUAAAGGCCCACCAAGGCGACGAUCCGUAGCUGGUCUGAGAGGAUGAUCAGCCACACUGGAACUGAGACACGGUCCAGACUCCUACGGGAGGCAGCAGUGGGGAAUAUUGGACAAUGGGCGCAAGCCUGAUCCAGCCAUGCCGCGUGGAUGAAGAAGGCCGUCGGGUUGUAAAGUACUUUCAGCGGGGAGGCGUUACCCGCAGAAGAAGCACCGGCUAACUCCGUGCCAGCAGCCGCGGUAAUAC
rnacentral:rRNA from 1 species